UUAAGAUACAGAGUAUGGUGACCUAGAAAGCAGAAUUUUGCCUUCAAAUGGAUUCCAAAUUAUGAUCAUUCCUGAAAAAAUAAAAACAAAUGAUUGACGUCCAAGUUGUCUGAAGAAAACGCAUAUGAUUCAUUAACUGAGCUGUUUUAACUAAAUCAGCUGGAAAAAAAAAAGAUGCGACGACACUCAAGACUCACGAUAUCGAGCUGUUUCUGUGUGUGUCUGUUCCAAGUGGGCGGUAAUUUGAUCUCCCCUGUGUGGAAACAACAUCGCCAUAGUGCCAACUGUUACAUUUGGGGAUUGUGGUCAUGUGUUCUUCCUCUGUGAUGCAGACUUGUGUCUUGUUUGUGGUAUAAAGCCCAGCAACAUAGCAAGAAGACACUGAGUAGAACCUCCAAAAACAGUCUUGCUUUGAACCAGCUUGGAUGUUGCUGUGCUAGGUCUGCACGUUGCGCCCAGAGACCACAAUUUCUGACAAUGACGACUACAAACAGACAGCAAAGUGAAACUGCUGCACACAGUGGGAGGUCCCAGUUGAGAGGCAGGAUGAAGACAGAACACAAGGUCACUCAAAGGGCUGACAAACACGCCCCUUUUCCACCGCAGAACCGAGGCGGCUUGCCGUAGCUCGAUUCACAAAUGACACAUUUCCACUGGCAGGUGGAACCAGAUACUGGCAGUUUCUCAUGACUACUGAAGCGGUGAAACUUUGAAGUGGGGGAAACAGACCGCCCAAAAAGCAAAGCAAGCGGAGCCUAGUACAGCCAUUCAAUAGAAAAGUGGCAAUGAAGAUUGUCGUUUGCAAACUUUUUGUGGAAGAAACUACAGCACCUUUACAUAUCAAUAUAAUAAGGUAUGCAUUAGGAAGACUGUGCUAGCCACGUGGAAGCGUCAUUACUAAUGUAUAUAGAUGACACCCUAAAACCAGAAGUAAUUGGAAAAAAAAAAGAUGCAGUCAAUCCAAUCAUCCUUAACAAAACACACUACAGAGCAUGACCAAGCAAAUGAAAAAGCACCCACUGAGGAAAAAAGAAAUCUACUUUUAGGAGAAUCUUCAUGGUCGGUUUCAAUUGACAUUGUCCCAAAACGUUUUUAUUUAAUAUGAAUGUAUGUCAUGGAUAUAAUGUGAUGGUGUAUAACUGCACUGCCUACUGAGAACUGUAAGCAAAAUAUUAACAAGUCAGGAGUGAAAUGCACGCACGCACGCACGCACGCACGCACGCACGCACGCACGCACGCACGCACG